AGGAGGAGGAGGCAGAGAGCACAGCAUCGUCAGGACCAGACUCGUCUCAGGCCAGUUGCAGCCUUCUCAGCCAAACGCCGACGAAGGAAAACUCACUACCAUGAGAAUUGCAGUGAUUUGCUUUUGCCUCUUAGGCAUCACCUAUGCCCUACCAGUUAAACAGGCUGAUUCUGGAAGUUCUGAGGAAAAGCAGCUUUACAACAAAUACCCAGAUGCUGUGGCCACAUGGCUAAAGCCUGAUCCAUCUCAGAAGCAGAAUCUCCUAGCCCCACAGAAUGCUGUGUCCUCUGAAGAAACCAAUGACUUUAAACAAGAGGUAAGUUCUCAUUUUCAAUCAGAGGCCCAUCAUGCCUUGAAGAAAUGAAAGAAGCCAUUGCCUGGAUUCUCUUCUGAUGAAAUUUCAUUAGCAAGUUUUCCAGCUAACUGGCAGUCUAAAACUUGCUCAUAAAGAAAACAUGUAUUUACUAAAUAUCAGAAAUACCUGGUUUCCUCGGAUAAGUUUAGCAUUACAGAAGAUGUUUAUUAAUGCCUGUUAUUUGAAACAUUAAGCUCUUGCAAUUUAUUUAAGG
rnacentral:sRNA from 1 species